CGGCAGGCUUAACACAUGCAAGUCGAGGGGUAACAGGGAUUGCUUGCAAUCCGCUGACGACCGGCGCACGGGUGCGUAACGCGUAUGCAACCUACCUUCUUCAGGGGGAUAGUCAAUAGAAAUGUUGAAUAAUACCCCAUACGAUCAUUAAUCUGCAUGGAUUGAUGAAGAAAGCUCCGGCGGAAGAAGAUGGGCAUGCGUCCUAUUAGUUAGUUGGUAAGGUAACGGCUUACCAAGACAUCGAUAGGUAGGGGUCCUGAGAGGGAGACCCCCCACACUGGUACUGAGACACGGACCAGACUCCUACGGGAGGCAGCAGUGAGGAAUAUUGGACAAUGGAGGAAACUCUGAUCCAGCCAUGCCGCGUGCAGGAAGACGGCCCUACGGGUUGUAAACUGCUUUUAUACAGGAAGAAUUGCAUCUACGUGUAGAUGUUUGACGGUACUGUACGAAUAAGGAUCGG
rnacentral:rRNA from 1 species